rnacentral:rRNA from 1 species
AUUGAACGCUGGCGGCAGGCCUAACACAUGCAAGUCGAGCGGAUGACGGGAGCUUGCUCCUUGAUUCAGCGGCGGACGGGUGAGUAACGCCUAGGAAUCUGCCUGGUAGUGGGGGACAACGUUUCGAAAGGAACGCUAAUACCGCAUACGUCCUACGGGAGAAAGCAGGGGACCUUCGGGCCUCGCGCUAUCAGAUGAGCCUAGGUCGGAUUAGCUAGUAGGUGAGGUAAUGGCUCACCUAGGCGACGAUCCGUAACUGGUCUGAGAGGAUGAUCAGUCACACUGGAACUGAGACACGGCCCAGACUCCUACGGGAGGCAGCAGUGGGGAAUAUUGGACAAUGGGCGAAAGCCUGAUCCAGCCAUGCCGCGUGUGUGAAGAAGGUCUUCGGAUUGUAAAGCACUUUAAGUUGGGAGGAAGGGCAGUACGUUAAUACCUUGCUGUUUUGACGUUACCGACAGAAUAAGCACCGGCUAACUCUGUGCCAGCCGCCGCCGUAACAC